rnacentral:lncRNA from 1 species
AGUGCAGGGACAAGAAAUCACAAUUGUAAUGCAAACCAAGAAUUAAAUUUCGAAAAGUAAAAAAUUGAAUGUUUUAACAAAAUAUUGUCAAGAACAUACCUGGUGGCCACUGUGGAAGGGGUGAAGGAAGAGAAAAAGGCUUUUUUUCCACGGGAAAAUCCUCGUACAAAUUGUCAUAAUCGCAUGAGACAAAACACCCACACCUCCCCAACAUAUUUUUAUUUUAUUUUUUCAAAAGAUUCAAUUACACGACAAACCCACAAAAAGAAUUGCUUUUAGCUCAGCCGAAGUAAAUGCAUAAACACGCAGACUGAUACCCAAUUUCUGUUUUAAGGAUCGCGUGGAUAAUCAAGAAACUAUCUAGUCAAAAAUUAUAUUUGGGAGUUUGUGUUUGAUGGGUGCAACUUGCAAGGACAGACACUGGGAGGUUUUACUUUUCUUUGGAGAGUUUGAGUGAGAAGACCGAAGCAAAAUAUUGGAGAGAGAAGUAGAGAGAUUUGGCUUUUAUAAUUGUGCAAUUAAGUGGUUUGGUCAGUUGCAGACUUACAGUAGAUGAUAUUUUGGAGUC